rnacentral:rRNA from 1 species
AUUGAACGCUGGCGGCAGGCCUAACACAUGCAAGUCGAACGAGUGGCGGACGGGUGAGUAAUGUCUGGGAAACUGCCCGAUGGAGGGGGAGAAAUACUGGAAACGGUAGAUAAUACCGCAUACCAUCGGAUGUGCCCAGAUGGGAUUAGCUAGUAGGUGGUGUAACGGCUCACCUAGGCGACGAUCCCUAGCUGGUCUGAGAGGAUGACCAGCCCCACUGGAACUGAGACACGGUCCAUACUCCUCCGGGAGGCAGCAGUGGGGAAUAUUGCACAAUGGUCGCAAGCCUGAUGCAGCCAUGCCGCGUGUAUGAAGAAGGCCUUCGGGUUGUAAAGUACUGUCAGCGAGGAGGCGUUACUCGCAGAAGAAGCACCGGCUAACUCCGUGCCAGCAGCCGCGGUAAUUC